rnacentral:rRNA from 1 species
ACUGCUCAGUAACACGUAGCUAACCUACCCUUUGGUCAAGGAUACCCUCGGGAAACUGAGGUUAAUACUUGAUAAGAGACAUACCCUGGAAAGAUUUGUCUCUCAAACUCGCGCCAAAGGAUGGGGCUGCGGCGGAUUAGGUUGUUGGCGGGGUAAUAGCCCACCAAGCCGAAGAUCCGUAAGGGCUCUUAGCGGAGAAGCCCUGAGAGGGAAUCUGAGACACUAUUCCCAGCCCUACGGGGUGCAGCAGUUAGGAAUAAUCUACAAUGCGCGUAAGCGUGAUAGUUUGAGCCAGAGUGUGUUUCAAUUGAAAUGCUUUUGUGAAAUGUAAAAAGUUUCACGAAUAAGGACUGGGUAAGACUAGUGCCAGCCGCCGCGGUAAUACUAGCGGUCCAAGUCGCAGCCAUUUUUAUUGGGUCUAAAACAUCCGUAGCUUGCUUAAUAAGUUCCUUGUGAAAUCUCGUGUCUCAAGCACUGGGCGUGCAAGGAGUACUAUUAAGCUAGAGACUGGAAGACGUAAGAAGUACGUUCGAAGUAGCGGUAAAAUGUGUUAAUCUCGGACGGACUAACAAUAGCGAAGGCAUCUUACGAGGACAGUUCUGACAGUAAGGGAUGAAGGCUAGGGGCGCAAAACGGAUUAGAUACCCGUGUAGUCCUAGCAGUAAACACUGCACACUAAACAUUAGUACCUCUUCGAGAGGUAUUAGUGCUGUAGGGAAGCCGGAGAGUGUGCUACCUGGGAAGUAUAGUCGCAAGGCCGAAACUUAAAGGAAUUGGCGGGGGAGCAC